UACAGAGGUGGCAAGCGUUGUUCGGAAUUACUGGGCGUAAAGGGCGCGUAGGCGGCCUUCUAAGUCAGACGUGAAAUCCCCCGGCUUAACCUGGGAACUGCGUCUGAUACUGGGAGGCUUGAGUAUGGGAGAGGGAUGUAGAAUUCCAGGUGUAGCGGUGAAAUGCGUAGAUAUCUGGAGGAAUACCGGUGGCGAAGGCGGCAUCCUGGACCAUUACUGACGCUGAGGUGCGAAAGCGUGGGGAGCAAACAGG
rnacentral:rRNA from 1 species